UUCAGGAAAACAUAGAAUUCGAAACCCAGUUACCAGCUCUCACCAGCAGAUGCAUAAGAUACGAUGCAGCAUUUGCAAACGGAGAUGACAGGAGCAAUUGCCGAUGACGGUUUUGAGGUUCGAGUGGGGAAAAACAGGAAACGGAGGAAGAGAAAGAAUCAAAGUUUGGAUUUAUCAAAUACUUUGUAGAUAGUCCAUGCAUUUUGCAGCUGGAAUCUUUUGGUAAAUACUUAACCUUUUAAUCAAAGCCUAUAUAUGCCAAUAGGUUUUGUAAGUGGCAUCAAAUAAUUAAUUGCUUUUUUCUUGGUAAGUACCAAAAUGUUUACACUUUCAGCUUAACAAAAAAUAAUAAAUUGAGACAAACUUGGAACCUAAUAA